CUUCUAUUUUUCCGACCGACAUAGUGAUUCUUGAAUGGAUCACUGGCUCAAGAUGAAGAAUUGAAGGGAUUCUGGCGAGCAUGGUAGCAACUCCCUCAGUCACCUGCCGGCCCGAGUCCAAAGAUCAUAUAGAAGAUCAUCAGCUGCAGUGCCAACAUCUUAUCUCCAUCUUCACACGAUUUCGGUUUUAAGCACCCCGUAGAUUCUUCAAAGAUAGCAAGUUACAGAAUGGUUCCAUUUGAUGAUUGUAAAUUGCGAGGCGUAAUGGGGAUAUCGUGUUUGAAAAAUGGAACACAAUGGAGAUUUGAGGGGUUUUUUAAUCGCCAAUUUUUGCUGCCUUUUUUCUUAAGUUUGAUAAAUUCAUUUUCUAGUGUGGAUGUUGCACAUUUUGUUGUGUAGGAAUCAUUUUAUUGGUUGAUAUUUUGAAAUUUCGAAAUGUAUUGGUGUCGACAUGGCCUUCUUCCUUGAGAUAGAAAUUACUUUUCUUGUUAUCUUGUUAUACAUAAAUGGUAAAUUGUGAGGCAUAAACACUCUAGGAAGAUAUUUGUUUUGGUUUAUUCGAGUCUUGUAAAUACUGUUGCUUGAGACUUCCUACUGAUAACGAGAAGGAUGUCGAAAUGGUUUUAUUUUUGGUGCA